GAUUCGAGGGAACCGUGAAGCUGAUGACGAGCGGCGGACGGCUGAGUAACGCGUGAGAACAUACCCCAAAGUGAGGGAUAACUAGUCGAAAGAUUAGCUAAUACCGCAUGUGAUCUUUGGAUUAAAGCAUUUAUGCGCUUUGGGAAUGGCUUGCGUACGAUUAGAUAGUUGGUGAGGUAAAGGCUCACCAAGUCGACGAUCGUUAGAUGGUUUGAGAGGAUGAUCAUCCAGACUGGGACUGAGACACGGCCCAGACUCCUACGGGAGGCAGCAGUAGGGAAUCUUUCACAAUGGGCGAAAGCCUGAUGGAGCAAUGCCGCGUGCAGGACGAAGGCCUUCGGGUUGUAAACUGCUUUUAUAAGCGAGAAAUAUGAUGGUAACUUAUGAAUAAGGAUCGGCUAACUACGUGCCAGCAGCCGCGGUCAUACGUAGGAUCCGAGCAUUAUCCGGAGUGACUGGGUGUAAAGAGUUGCGUAGGUGGCAAGGUAAGUAGAUAGUGAAAUCUGGUGGCUCAACCAUUCAGACUAUUAUCUAAACUAUCUAGCUCGAGACUGUUAUGGGUAACUGGAAUUUCUAGUGUAGGAGUGAAAUCC
rnacentral:rRNA from 1 species